GGGCGAUUAGCUCAGCUGGAUAGAGCACUACGUUUACACCGUAGGGGUCGCAGGUUCGAACCCUGCAUCGCCCA
rnacentral:tRNA from 1 species